GACGAACGCUGGCGGCGUGCUUAACACAUGCAAGUCGAACGGGAACCUUUAUUUCGGUAAAGGUGAGAGUGGCAAACGGGUGAGUAACACGUAGGCAACCUGCCGACAGGAUGGGGACAACAUUCCGAAAGGAAUGCUAAUACCGAAUGGAGUCCGAGGAUGGCAUCAUCCACGGAUAAAAGAUGGCCUCUGAAUAUGCUAUCGCCUGUCGAUGGGCCUGCGUCUGAUUAGCCAGUUGGCGGGGUAACGGCCCACCAAAGCGACGAUCAGUAGCCGGUCUGAGAGGAUGAACGGCCACAUUGGGACUGAGACACGGCCCAGACUCCUACGGGAGGCAGCAGUGGGGAAUCUUCCACAAUGGGCGAAAGCCUGAUGGAGCAACGCCGCGUGAGUGAAGAAGGUCUUCGGAUCGUAAAGCUCUGUUGCACGGGACGAAAACCGGGUUUGAGAAUAUUGAACCCG
rnacentral:rRNA from 1 species